rnacentral:rRNA from 1 species
AGGACGAACGCUGGCGGCGUGCUUAACACAUGCAAGUCGAGCGGUAAGGCCUUUCGGGGUACACGAGCGGCGAACGGGUGAGUAACACGUGGGUGAUCUGCCCUGCACUUCGGGAUAAGCCUGGGAAACUGGGUCUAAUACCGGAUAUGACCUCCUAUCGCAUGGUGGGUGGUGGAAAGAUUUAUCGGUGCAGGAUGGGCCCGCGGCCUAUCAGCUUGUUGGUGGGGUAAUGGCCUACCAAGGCGACGACGGGUAGCCGACCUGAGAGGGUGACCGGCCACACUGGGACUGAGACACGGCCCAGACUCCUACGGGAGGCAGCAGUGGGAAUAUGCACAAUGGGCGAAAGCCUGAUGCAGCGACGCCGCGUGAGGAUGACGGCCUUCGGGUUGUAAACCGUCUUUCAGCAGGACGAAGCGCAAGUGACGGUACCUGCAGAAGAAGCGAACCGGCUAACUACGUGACCAGACAGCCGC